ensembl:lncRNA
AAAGCUCUUACACCUACCUCCCCAGUCCUGUUCUAACAUGUACCUACUUGUGUCUUGACAGGGUCAUGAGAUGCAGCGAAGUCUCAGUGUUUUCCGCCAUUGACUGUCCCUGCAAUUAGCCAUUAUGCUACUGUGUGUGAAAUACUUUACRCCCGCGUUCUGCUACACUUAAGAAUUGUCUUAGCCCAUGCAAAAUACCUGUGCAAGUGCAAAUGGUCUGUGGAAGAUAAGAGCAAAUGACUACUGGCCACCAGGAUCAGAACAAGGCUAAUGGCAGUCAAACAGAAACAAGGCUGAUACUAACUUAAGUGAAACACUCUUCACUACAGGGUAGUGAAGGAGGAUUUGUGUGUGCCCCUUGUCCAUCAGUGACCGUGUCAAGAUGAGCAUCAUUUUUACCCCAAUGAAGGAAGGACUAAGCUGUUCAACUGACGGAAAAUCAGGCUGAGCAGUGGCUGGCAUCACUCCAGCGCUGGUUCAAAGUGAACUCCAUUCAGGCUGUUUCACACUCUCUUUUUGUUAAGAGAGCUCAAUUUGCUGUGCUCAAAUCAUGGGACCCAAACCAGGAAAGAAAACAGAGGUUAUUUGAAGUCUGAACAUAACCAGAGUAAUUGGAAAGCACCCCUCUAAGCAAGGAAGACCAGGUGAGUGUCUCUGCUCAGCCUCGUGUAAUUUAGUCAUCUGUGCUGGCUGCCAAAAAGUGGAUUUCAUCACCUCCUUGUUAGGAAAACGCAUCUUCUCUGCGCAGCAUGUAAGACCGCCUUUGAGCUGCUACACAGAGGAACGGUCCCCUAGGGGAAGUCAUCCUGGUCAGCAGCACAGAAGGGCAGGCACAGACACAGAGCAGCGUGUAACAGCUGCAUGCAACUGCRCUCGCAGCACUGUGCGCUUUGAGGUGUGUCCUGGGGCCAAGGCACAGUCGGGGAGGGCAACAGGGAAGCAGUUUGGGGCAGGACAAUGUUCAGCUCAACCCAGAAGCAAACCGCAGCUGUGUGUCAGGCUCCUCAGUUCCUGUCCUGUCCCUCCUCCCCGUUGGGGAGUAGCUGCAUUUCAGAGUGCAUUUCACCUGAUCUCAACCCAAAUGCUGCUUGGUGAGUUUGACUUUGAACUGCUCAAAAAGGCAUACUAAGCUGUGGUGAAGAAGGGUUGAACGCGAGGUGAACUCCAUUCCUUCAGGCUGAAUAACGUGUCAGUUCUGUUUCAUGAGUCAAGGUGCAAAUAGUAAUUGGUCUUAAACUGGUCAAUGGUGUGAACUGUUUAUAACUCUGCCCAUCCAGGCUCUUCCGCAGGUGCGGUUUGGCAGAGAGCAGAACCCCUCUCUCCUCCUCCUGCUAGCAUUGCAUGUUGUGGUCACACUGUCCGUGUCUCUGCAUCCUGUUCUCCCCCGCUGUCUUAUUGGGGUGAUCUCAAAGCAUGCCAGUCACGAGUUAAUGCAGUCCUCAUCCACCUUCUGGAAGUUAGAGUCAAAUUAGUUUUUCCAGCUGAAGUGGCUGAGAUAGAUGCAGGCAAGACACUGUGACUAAGAACACACAACAAGACGAUGGCAGCAGGGCAAACAGAAUUCAAGUCCUGAUGUCCAGGUGUUUUUCAGACCCUCUUUCCUUGCUUGUAACUGUAUUAAACCUGCCAGCCUCUUGUACUAAGUACGUCUCAUCAGUAGGUAUCAAAGCACUUCACAAAGGAAGCUGAUAAGAAUUUGUCCCCAUUUUAAAAUGUGAAACUCAAGGCAUAGAUAGACAAAAUGACUUUUUCAAGAUUCUCCAGCAGGCCACUGGCAAAGGUAGGGACAGUAUCUAGGUCUCCUGAGCUCCGGAGUACUGGUCUGUCCCUGUAACCUGACUUUCUUUGGGGGAAUGAUGAGUAUUUUUUCACCCAAGGGUUUGAGUCCACUUCCUUAGCAAUAGGGCCAGUGACUGAGACCACUGCUCCGGGGUCAGUGCUUGCCUCACCUGCAACAUAAGAGCUGUCUUCCCCUUUCCUUGGGCAACAACUUGUGUGGGAAAAAACAGUAGUAGUAUGGAGCAGGAAGGCCUGGAGACAUCAAGGAUGAGAUAGACUGCUUUUCCCCAUCUUCCACUUUCUGCUGGACUUGGGAGUGAAGCCUGCCUGGAAGUUGUGGUGGUCAUCCUGGCCUCUGGAAGCCGCUCCAGCUCUGCACAUCCAGAGUUUGAGGUCAUGGAGCAGAUGAAGCCUAGAAGGUGCUAUUGCGUUCACGAGCGAUGUACCUUUCUUGUAAUUGGUCAAUAAAUGCAGUAGUUUGUGGCUCA